UAACCCGAAAAUUGGGGAUUUUUUUUAAAUCAGAGAAAACUGGGAUCCCUGGCGAUCACCUUCCAGGGAGGUUAUUAGUACAUGAACUCCUGCGUCUCCCUGCCAUCAUCCCAGAGCACCUGACGUAGCAGCUGGGGGAGUGGGAGGGUGAGCGGGGAUAGGAUGUCUGGCUGUAGGGACAGGGGCUUUGGUCUGAGGUAGCAGCUGUGCAGCCGGAUUCGAUGAACAGGCCUUUCUAAAGGGCUCUGGAAGACCUCUGGGCGUGCUGUCUAACCCAAACAGCCUCAAGAGAUGCUUCAGUAACAAAAUGGGCAAGAGCAAUGCAAAGACUGGGGAUUCUCAGCCAGGGUACUACACCCUGGGGCGCCUUGAGAUCCUUUUGAGGGUGCCGUGCAAUCUUAGCACUGCUAGGCAAGCAAACGUGAUUCACAAGAUAAACCCAGAGAUUUCAAGUACAAACUCCUAGGGUUAAAAACAUACUGACCUGCUAUGGUCUUGCUGAGUUCUUUGCAAUAGAAACAUUGCUCUAGUAUUUUUCUGCAGUCAAGUAACAAAUAAAACCUAAGAGUUGGCAUUUUCUGAGGGGUGCCUCAGGUACAAAAAGGUUGAGAACCACAGGCUUCAUGCAGAGGAGAGAAGCGGAGCAUGCAUCUCUGAGGCAUGAGGGUCUGAUACACACACAAGACCCUCAGAAUCCUCCAGAACAGGACUCGGAUAAUCAUCUACUAAAUCUCUGGGUAUUUUAGAGAGCCAAGAACAAAAACAGCAAGUUAAAGCAUGGGCAAUUUCUGCUUCUUUCAGGGUGACUUGCCACAUACAAAAAGCCAACCCCACGUCUAUGCACUUCAACCUUAUUCCAAGGGCUCAGGUUCACCUAGGAGUUCCAGCCCCUGCCAGCAAAAUGUCACCCUGAAGCCCUUCCGGACACAACAAAGAGUGAUGUGUCUGUGAAGAUUCGUGCCCUUUUAAAGAUUCUUUGGACGAGAGCUGAUACGUAAAACUUCAGACUUCACCUAAAUACUAGUUUUCAGUCAUCCAACAUUUUGAUUGUCUUAAAUCUAUAAAGAUGGAGAGGGCAGAACUGACCCAAACACCUUCAUCCCCUGCAUCCAGGUAAUGGCCUGUGAAAGGCCCAUAAGAGGGAAGGACAAGGCAACCAGGUGAUUAAUGGGGGAGAUGAAAGGCAUUUUCAGUUUCCUGAACAGGAUGCUCAAUUACAGAUGGACACUGCACUAAAUGUGAAAAGCCCUGAGGGGGUGAACACACCAUAAUUAAUCACGGUGGACCUGCAGUGCAGGAGCUAGGGGGUUUCUCACAGUCACUCCUGCAACAUGAGAACAUCAGUUUGUUCCUAGACAGUGAUGCAUUCUAGUGACUAUUAGGCCACAGAAGGGAGGUGUUAUAUAUUGAACUUUUAGGUGCAUCCAUCACAUUUGUGAUGGAUGCACCUAAACCGUUUGUUCAGAGGUGGUCACAUUGUUAGCAAUAAAAGACUGGAUGACACACCAUGAUUUUGCUUUUGAUAGAGCACUACAGGGAUUUUUUUAAUUGGGUCCUACUGAAGUCCCCCUCCUUUUGUCUAGAGAACGAAGGAGCUUCACCAAGCUGGGAGGAAAAAAAAUCAGUCAAUGUAAAUGGGAAGGAGAGAAUUCAUUGGAAUUGCAAGAAUCAGAACAGCCCUACAGACAUGAGACAAUCCUGUUUCAUGUUUUACAUCUUCACUGACUGCCUGUCUUGCAUGCGUAGAAGCCUCUGGCUUCUUUACUAUUCAUUCCAUCCAGG